rnacentral:rRNA from 1 species
UCUAUCUUGAGGUCUGGGAUAGCUUGUGGAAACACAGGGUAAAUACUGGAUGCGACCUGUGUGUUGAGGUACAUGGCGUAAAGCCGCUUAGGCGGGGUCUUACGCUGACCCGGUCUCACACUAUAUNGUUGGUGGGGUAAUGGCUUACCAAGGCGACGAUGAGUAGCCGGCCUGAUAGGGUGAUCGGCCACACUGGCACUGAGACACGGCCCAGACUCCUACGGGAGGCAGCAGCUAACAAUCUUCCGCAAUGGGGGAACCCUGACGGAGCGACGCCGCGUGGACGAAGAAGGCCGGAAGGUUGUAAAGUCCUUUUCCUGGGGGAGAAUAAGGUAUGGAGGGAAUGCCAUACAGAUGACGUGAACCAGGGAAUAAGCCCCGGCUAGUUACGUGCCAGCAGCCGCGGUAACACGUAAGGCGCGAGCGUUGUUCGGAUUUAUUGGCCGUAAAGGGCGUGUAGGCGGUGAGAUAAGUCUGGUGUGAAAGAUCCCGGCUCAACCGGGAGAGCGCGCUGGAAACUGUCUUACUUGAGUGAUGGAGGGGAGCUGGAAUUCCUGGUGUAGGGUGAAAUCUGUAGAGAUCAGGAAGAACACCGGAAGCGAAGGCGAGCUCCUGACCAUUUACUGACGCUGAGGCGCGAAAGCGUGGGGAGCGAACAGGAUUAGAUACCCUGGUAGUCCACGCUGUAAACGAUGUGCACUGGGUGUUGGACCUGAGAGGUUCAGUGCCGUAGCAAACGCGUUAAGUGCACCGCCUGGGGAGUAUGCUCGCAAGGGUGAAACUCAAAGGAAUUGACGGGGGCCCGCACAAGCGGUGGAGCAUGUGGUUUAAUUCGAUGAUACGCGAGAAACCUUACCAGGGCUUGACAUAAGCAUGACGGUUGUAGAGAUACAGCUUCUCUUCGGAGCGUGUUUACAGGUGCUGCAUGGCUGUCGUCAGCUCGUGCUGUGAAGUGUUGGGUUAAGUCCCGCAACGAGCGCAACCCUUGCUGUCUGUUGCCAACAGGUAAUGCUGGGGACUCGGACGGUACUGCCGGUGACAAACCGGAGGAAGGUGGGGACGACGUCAAGUCAUCAUGGCCCUUAUGUCCUGGGCUACACACGUGCUACAAUGGUCGGUACAGAGCGAAGCGAAACCGCGAGGUAGAGCAAAUCGCAGAAAGCCGGUCCCAGUUCGGAUUGAAGUCUGAAACCCGACUUCAUGAAGGUGGAAUCGCUAGUAAUCGCGCAUCAGCAUGGCGCGGUGAAUAUGUUCCCGGGCCUUGUACACACCGCCCGUCACACCACCCGAGUUGGGGGUACCCGAAGUCGCUCGUCUAACCAGUAAUGGGGGACGG